UACGGGGGGGGCAAGCGUUGUUCGGAAUUACUGGGCGUAAAGGGCUCGUAGGCGGCCAACUAAGUCAGACGUGAAAUCCCUCGGCUUAACCGGGGAACUGCAUCUGAUACUGGAUGGCUUGAGUUCGGGAGAGGGAUGCGGAAUUCCAGGUGUAGCGGUGAGAUGCGUAGAUAUCUGGAGGAACACCGGUGGCGAAGGCGGCAUCCUGGACCGACACUGACGCUGAGGAGCGAAAGCCAGGGGAGCAAACGGG
rnacentral:rRNA from 1 species